rnacentral:rRNA from 1 species
CCCUUAGAUGUUCUGGGCCGCACGCGCGCUACACUGACGAAUGCAACGAGCUUAUAACCUUGGCCGAAAGGUCUGGGUAAUCUCCAAAUUUCGUCGUGAUGGGGAUAGAUUAUUGCAAUUAUUAAUCUUCAACGAGGAAUUCCUAGUAAACGCAAGUCAUCAACUUGCAUUGAUUACGUCCCUGCCCUUUGUACACACCGCCCGUCGCACCUACCGAUUGAAUGGUCCGGUGAAGCCUCCGGAUUGGCGCGCACCUCGGUGCCGCCGAGAAGUUGGCUAAACCUUACCAUUUAGAGGAAGGUGAAGUCGUANCA